UUUUGGCAACCAGGAAGGGACCUCCAAAGCGACCUGCCACUGACUCCCAUCCCUCCGGAUCCGGCAGGCUGUCCGCUGUGCUCCUGAACCAGCGAGGCACCCAUUGCCAAUCCUGAUUGGGCUAAAGGCUUGCCGUUGUUCCUGCACGGCUAAGUGCCCAGGUUCAUCCUAAUUGAGCUGAACACUAGUCACUGGGUUCCACGGUUCUCUUCCAUGACCCAUGGCUUCUAAUAGAGCUAUAACACUCACCGCACGGCCCAAGAUUCCAUUCCUUGGAAUCUGUGAGGCCAAGAACCCCAGGUCAGAGAACACGAGGCUAGCCACCAUCUUGGAAGUGGCCUACCACCAUCUUGGAAGUGGCUCGCCACCAUCUGAGGAGCUCUGUGAGCAAGGACCCCCGGGAGAAAGCAUUUAUGGUGAGGAGAAAAGCAGCUGGUAUCACACUCUACCCAAGUCCCAAAAGCAGGUUCACAUAACUCCUGUCUUCAUUAUCUGAUAUCCGUAUGAAGAAUGUAAGAUAGAAAAAAACAUUAGCAUUUGAGAGGAUUGAAAGAGAAGCAUUCUCAGCAGAGCCAAGAUUCACUUAGAACAAAAGGUCUGCAGGUGUACCCAACAGCUCCGAAGAGACAGCGACCAUCAAGAACAGGCCAAGAUGACGAUGGCAGUUUUGUCG
rnacentral:lncRNA from 10 species